rnacentral:rRNA from 1 species
CUUGGUCAUUUAGAGGAAGUAAAAGUCGUAACAAGGUUUCCGUAGGUGAACCUGCGGAAGGAUCAUUACCAAAAGAUAAUCUUUCUUCGAAAGAUCUUUUCCUUUGUGCUGGCUUUGACCGUAUGUAAUUUUGGGACUUAAAAAUGGUUCAGCAAUGGAUCGGUCCCAAAAACAAAUUAUACCAACCUUACUGAACAACUAAACAAUGAUAUAAUAAUCUGUUUAAAACAACUUUCAACAACGGAUCUCUUGGUUCUCGCAUCGAUGAAGAACGCAGCGAAAUGCGAUACGUAAUGUGAAUUGCAGAAUUCAGUGAAUCAUCGAAUCUUUGAACGCACAUUGCACUCCUUGGUAUUCCGAGGAGUAUGCCUGUUUCAGUAUCAUGAGCACUCUCAUACAAAAACUUUAUUGUUAUUGUGUGGAAUUGGGAUGCGCCGAAGUUAAACUCGGCCCUCCUAAAAUGUAGUUCUUGGCUGUUUCCUACUACAGCAGUUUGGCUUAAUAGUUUUGACAACUCGUUGUCAGAUCUUUGGCUACAUUUGCUUCAGGAUAUCAGUCUUGAUAUACAGAAAACUCAUUCAAAUUUUGAUCUGAAAUCAGGUAGGACUACCCGCUGAACUUAAGCAUAUCAAUAAGCGGAGGA